GGGAGCAAACAGGAUAGAUACCCUGGUAGUCCACGCCGUAAACGAUGUCUACUUGAAGGUUGUGGCCUUGAGCCGUGGCUUUCGGAGCUAACGCGUUAAGUAGACCGCCUGGGGAGUACGGUCGCAAGAUUAAAACUCAAAUGAAUUGACGGGGGCCCGCACAAGCGGUGGAGCAUGUGGUUUAAUUCGAUGCAACGCGAAGAACCUUACCUACUCUUGACAUCCAGAGAAGUUACCAGAGAUGGUUUCGUGCCUUCGGGAACUCUGAGACAGGUGCUGCAUGGCUGUCGUCAGCUCGUGUUGUGAAAUGUUGGGUUAAGUCCCGCAACGAGCGCAACCCUUAUCCUUGUUUGCCAGCACGUAAUGGUGGGAACUCCAGGGAGACUGCCGGUGAUAAACCGGAGGAAGGUGGGGACGACGUCAAGUCAUCAUGGCCCUUACGAGUAGGGCUACACACGUGCUACAAUGGCGUAUACAGAGGGCUGCCAACCAGCGAUGGUGAGCGAAUCCCACAAAGUACGUCGUAGUCCGGAUCGGAGUCUGCAACUCGACUCCGUGAAGUCGGAAUCGCUAGUAAUCGUGAAUCAGAAUGUCACGGUGAAUACGUUCCCGGGCCUUGUACACACCGCCCGUCACACCAUGGGAGUGGGCUGCACCAGAAGUAGAUAGCUUAACCUUCGGGAGGGCGUUUACCACGGUGUGGUUCAUGACUGGGGUGAAGUCGUAACAAGGUAGCCGUA
rnacentral:rRNA from 1 species